rnacentral:rRNA from 1 species
UACGUAGGGGGCAAGCGUUGUCCGGAAUCAUUGGGCGUAAAGAGCGUGUAGGCGGCUCGAUAAGUCCGCUGUGAAAGUCCAGGGCUCAACCCUGGAAGGCCGGUGGAAACUGUCGGGCUAGAGUCCGGAAGAGGCGAGUGGAAUUCCCGGUGUAGCGGUGAAAUGCGCAGAUAUCGGGAGGAACACCAAUGGCGAAGGCAGCUCGCUGGGACGGUACUGACGCUGAGACGCGAAAGUGUGGGGAGCAAACAGG